CUCAGGUUAAUGGAGGGAACCAAGCAAAAGCUCUUAAGCAACCUUUUAAGAAGGGAUGACUCAAUAAUAGGGAUAAUCGUAGCUGAGAAAGAUUCAGCAAUUCCUGUUUUAUCUUCAUACAGUCCUUCUUGCCCUGAUACAGUCGACAGACACAGACCUUUUAUUGCAUCAACUAUUACCCUUAUGAGAAACUCUAACAAGCUAGGGUUAGGUGAAACACGGAGAGCGUGUGCCACGUACGAAGAUAAGAAUGUUGUCAACAUAUUCUACAAGCAAUGGGUUAUAAUAAUAAUAGGAAAGUCAGACAGCUCUCUAGGGGGGAUGCUGUCAUUAGAAGAUGAAAUCUAUCAAUGUAUUGCAGACCUUCCUACUUUGCCUGACGACUAAAAUACCCUUCUUACCCAACAUUGUUUAUGAAAGACUGAUCGAAGCAGGCUGCGUUGUUCGUGACUCAUUAAUAAUUUGAUAUGAUAUAAAGUUGAUCUAAACUUGAUUCGCAUUUGGGCUGACUAAAACAAUUUUUAAGUUUUAGAUAAUUUUAUAUUAUAAGGUGUGUAAUAUGUGUAUACAGAUUUACUAGCAUACUGUCGUUGCAAGAUUGCUUGUAACUAGCCAAUUGAUUAUUAUCUUGAUGUAAGAUGAACCUUUGUGAUUAUAUGGAAGUUUUGUUGCUGCGUAUUCAAUUGGAUUGAAUUUACUAA